rnacentral:rRNA from 1 species
GAUGAACGCUGGCGGCGUGCUUAACACAUGCAAGUCGAACGGAAAGGCUCCUGCUUGCAGGGGUACUCGAGUGGCGCACGGGUGAGUAACACGUGGGUGUUCUGCCCUGCACUUCGGGAUAAGCCUGCGAAACUGGGUCUCAUACCGGAUAGGACCACAUUUUGGGUGGUGUGGUGGAAAGUUUUUCGGUGUGGGAUGAGCUCGCGGCCUAUCAGCUUGUUGGUGGGGUAAUGGCCUACCAAGGCGUCGACGGGUAGCCGGCCUGAGAGGGUGUACGGCCACAUUGGGACUGAGAGACGGCCCAGACUCCUACGGGAGGCAGCAGUGGGGAAUAUUGCACAAUGGGCGCAAGCCUGAUGCAGCGACGCCGCGUGGGGGAUGACGGCCUUCGGGUUGUAAACUCCUUUCGCUAGGGACGAAGCGUUUUUGUGACGGUACCUGGAGAAGAAGCACCGGCUAACUACGUG